AACCUCCGCAAUGUGAGAAAUCGCGACGGGGGGAUCCCAAGUGCCAUUCUUAACGGGAUGGCUUUUCAUUAGUGUAAAGAGCUUUUGGAAUAAGAGCUGGGCAAGACCGGUGCCAGCCGCCGCGGUAACACCGGCAGCUCUAGUGGUAGCAAUUUUUAUUGGGCCUAAAGCGUCCGUAGCCGGUUUAAUAAGUCUCUGGUGAAAUCCCGCAGCUUAACUGUGGGAAUUGCUGGAGAUACUAUUAGACUUGAGACCGGGAGAGGUUAGAGGUACUCCCAGGGUAGAGGUGAAAUUCUGUAAUCCUGGGAGGACCGCCUGUUGCGAAGGCGUCUAACUGGAACGGUUCUGACGGUGAGGGACGAAAGUUAGGGGCGCGAACCGGAUUAGAUACCCGGGUAGUCCUAACUGUAAACGAUGCGGACUUGGUGUUGGGGUGGCUUUGAGCUGCUUCAGUGCCGAAGGGAAGCUGUAAGUCCGCCGCCUGGGAGUACGGUCGCAAGGCUGAAACUUAAAGGAAUU
rnacentral:rRNA from 1 species